rnacentral:lncRNA from 1 species
UACUUUUUUUUUUUUUUUUUUUGACAUUUCUUGGGCCGCUCCCAUGGCAUAUGGGAGGUUUCCAGGCUAGAGGUCUAAUCAGAGCUGUAGCCACUGGCCUACACUAGAGCCACAGCAACGCGGGAUCCAAGCCGUGUCUGCAACCUACACCACAGCUCAUGGCAACGCUGGAUCAUUAACCCACAAGCAAGGGCAGGGAUCGAACCCGCAACCUCAUGGUUCCUAGUCGGAUUCGUUAACCACUGCACCAUGACGGGAACUCCCAAUGAUACAUAUUUUAAAAUAUGUAUAUCAAACAAAAUAAAUCUUUUUUAAGGUUCGAAUGAUGUACUCAGAAUUUCUGUUUAGAUAAGAUUGAGGAGGGGAGAAAUUUCUUUCUUUUCUAGUUACUGGAAGAAACAUUAGAUUUUAAGAGUUUAUUUAAGUGAUUAAAGGAGUGAGCAGGGAGGAAACAACUUACACCUUUCUGAUGUCAAGCAGAGGAUCUGCCUGAGGUCUACCUGAGACUGAGUUGUUGAGCAGUUCCUCCAGAAAGUGACUGAGUCCUCUCUUGCUCUUGGAAGGUGCCUAGUCUUAAGGAAUCAAAUGGGUCAUCAAAGAACAUGUACUCACCCAUCUAAAAGAAGGUCUGGGGGAUGAAUUUUUUCAUUGGGGGUGGACCAAGGUCAAGUGGCUGUGUUUCAGGAUUGGUAACCUCCUCAAACAUCACAGGAAAUGUUUUGUCUUUCACCCUUUUUUCACUCUGUGCCUCCCUUAUUUUCUAUACAGAAAUAGAAAAGUAAGGAGAUAGAUGAAUCCUUCUGGAAUAUCAAAAAGGAAAAUCUAAGAACCGUUUUCCUUGACUAUUUAUGUUUGAAUAGAAACCAUGGACAUGUACUAGAAAUAUAAUACCCUUGCGCUAGGUUUUGACUAAAUAACUCUUGUGUUGUUCGAGACUUCAGUUAAUGUCCUCGUGCUUCCUAAUAGUUAUUAGCUAUAAUUAAAAUUAUUUAAAAUGAAAAGGCUUCUUAUGUGAGGUAAAACAAUGGGUAAUUUAGAUUAUAGUAAAAUUCUAUCUAGUCUGUAUAGUGAUUCAAAUAAAUGUAUGGUGUUGGGUUUAAAGCACGUUCUCCACAAACACUCGGUUAAUUUUCUUUAUUUACAAAGUUGUAUUGGGGGAGUUCCCGUUGUGGUGCAGCGGAGACAAAUCUGACUAGUAUUCAUGAGGAUGCAGGCUUGAUCCCUGGCCUCCCUCAGUGGGUCGGGGCUCUGGCGUUGCCGUGAGCUGUGGUGUCAGUUGCAGACGUGGCUUGGAUCUGGCAUUGCUGUGGCUGUGUGUAGGCCCAGCCUUGUUCCACCCCUAGCCUGGGAACUUCCAUGUGCUGCGAGUACGACCCUAAAAAGCAAAAAUAAAAUGGAAAAAAAAAAUUGUAUUAGCAAAAUGUACUUCAUAAACAUUAUUACCAGGUGACAUUUGUUGGACUUUUUAAAGAAAAUUUUAAUCUCUAGCUCUGUACAUAGUUGUAAAACUAAAAAAAGUUGAGAAUUAAAAAACUUUUCAUUGUGACUAAGUCCUUAGGUGAAAAAAAUUACUAUCUUCUAUCAACUAUUCCAUAUUAAUCUCUUGAUUUCUCCAAAGCUUUUUGCCAUCUCCUUAAGGUAGCAGUUGAUACAACCAUAUAUCCAUCACAUGUCCUAAGAUAAUGUAAUACUCAAAACAAAUUGAUGGAACAGAUGAUUUAGACACAAAAACAAAAGCCCAAAAAUGGAUCAGUCAGAGAGCUAUCUUGUCACUAUAAAUAAUUUAUGCAUUUUAUAAUAUGCAAUCCUAAAAAAUAUUGCAUCCAGGGGUUGCAAAUGAAAAAGAAAAAAACCCCAGAAAUUUAGAGAAUAAUGAAAGUUAUUUAUAAGAUUAAAACCAUCAGAAUCUGCCAGACUCAUUUACACCAAAAUAAGUUUUUUUGUGACUGUGUAUCUGUGUGUAUGUUCCUGAGUGGUGUGAUGUGGUGUGUGUGUGUGUGUGUGUGCAUGUGUCUAUUGUGUAGGAGUCUGUUUUGUAUCUCUGUAUUUGUGUCUCUAUGUGCAAGUCUGUCUGUCAACGUUUAUAUAUCUGUUGAGUUUUGGGGCAGGAGCCAGGAAGCAGAUUAUAGUGGUAUAAAAGAAAGAAAGGCAUCCAUUCUUGGAUGGAAGAUUUCUUAUCCAUCUUCCAUUGGAUAAGAAAAGAGAGGGGUAUUUUAACCCCCCCAGCACCCUCCUCCCAGACGUUAGGUGAAAUAAUUGAAUAAUUUUAUGUCUGUAAGUUUUAUACAUUUUAAUAAACAUGUAUUACAAAAGAAAUGCAUGUUCAUUAUUUUAUAUUUCAAAUAAAUCAAAUACUCAUUAAUAACCACUUUUUAUAUAUCCUUCCCGUUUUUUUACGUAUACGUACAUAUACAAUUUUGCAAUAUGGAAUUAUCCUAAAUAAACCGUUUUUUAGCAAUAGGACAUGAAGUCAAAUUCUUGCUUAUUCUAUCCCUAACACAUAGCACAGGUCAGGGUAUGUGAAAGGCAUUGAGAAAUAAAAUAUCACCUGCCAUAUCAGUAAAUAAAGGAUCUAUCGGAUUCGUUAACCGCUGAGCCAUGACGGGAACUCCUAGUUUUCUCUUAAUAAUAAUAAUCUGUUGACUUUCUGAGCACCUCCCCUUUGUUGCAAAAACUCCUGAAUAUCCCGGCUGCCCCCUCAUCUCCUAGGAACAAUUUUCCCAGUGUUAUCUGAGAUGCUGUCUCCUGCGUUUGUGGUCCUAAAAAAUGUCUGCCAAAUAAAACAUAACUUUCAGCUUUUAAGUUAUGCAUUUUUUUUUCAGUUGAUAGCAUUUGGAAAACAUCUGUUAAAUAAGUGGAGGAUUCCUUUGUGAUUGUCUUUGCAGUAUUUUUUCCUUUGGUAUGUUUAUAUAUUUAUUUGUGAAUUCUAUGUGAAUUGAAGAUUUUAGUUCUUUGUAUGUUACAAAUGCUGUUUUCCUCUAUUUAUACUUAAUUUUAUUUUUCCAAAAAUAGAAAAUAACAUUCAGUUUAAUUGAAUUGAAUGAGAUAUCUGAUUUAAUACAAAUGGUGCUUCAUUGAGACCUUUAAAUAAAUAAAUAAAUUCUAUAUAUAGGAGCAAAAUGCUGAAUACUCCUUAGUAGAGAUUCUGCUGUUUAUUUAAGUAAAGCUAUAUAGAAAUGAUUUAUAGAUAUUAUCAUAGAAUAUGCCCAAAAGCAGUGAAUGUUUACAUCAGACUGACUUGGUUGUUAUCUCAUUUCUGUCCCUCAGCAGCUGUGUGAUGGGGAAAAAAAAAUCACUUAGUGCCUCUGAACAUCUGUAAUUUGAGAAUAUUCAAGCCUCCCUCCCUGAGUUUGUGGCAUUCCAUUCCUUGAUGGGAGUUUCCAAAAUGGAUACUUAGUCUUAAGUAUGGGAAUAGACUAGAUCUAGAGCCCCAAAUUGGGCUCAGGUUCUCUGUCAAAAAAUGUAAGAUCACACACACACACACACACACACACACACACACACACACACACAUACAACAUAUAUAAUGUAUAUGCAUAGUGUUUUGUUUUUGCCGUAAUUAUUUUGAAACACCUGGGUUUUACUGUGUUAUGUUUUGUACUUCUUGGAGAGAAGUUUUUUUCUCUACCAACUCUGUUGACUUUUUAAAAGCAAAUAGUCUGUAUUCUUUAGUUUUCGCUUGAAAGAAUCUUGGUAUCAUGAAAUGGAACUACUAGUACAGUUUUAAAUGGAAUAAACUACUGAACAAUUCUUUAACUAUUUAAAUUACUCCAUUAACUUUAGUUCAGUAAAAGCAACAUCAUGAAGUGCUCUAGUUCACUCUGUUUUUUUUCCUAGAAUAUUACUGAAUUAGAAAUCUAAUUUUACUCUUGUUGUGUUGUUACCAUCAAUAUGUAAAACAUAGGAAGUCUAUCAAGCUUUCUAAUGUGACCACUGUGCAAAGUCUCAUGGUGAUUUUUAUAGAGUGGUGUUUACUCAACCUGCAAAUAUUUACUUUAACACUGAGCUUGCUUACAUGACUCUUUUACUAACUCUUUUGUCCAAGCAUAAAGUCUUUUACUACUUUCAUGAAAUUAAUUAUAGAUCUUUUUGGGAAUUAGCCUAACACUGUUGUCUUCCUAAAUAGAGGAAGCUUCCCCUUGUCCAGCCCAGGUCAGAGUAUCACACAUUUUGAUUUAAUUAAGGAAUGAAACUCGAAGGUAAUAUGCUCUAUGUUGCCAUUGUCAGAAUGGAAAUGGUUCAUGAUGUUUUAGUUAGAUUAUUAUUAAAAAUAAUGGAGUAAACAAUAUUUUCAUUCAAAAAUACAAGUUUUUUUUAGGACCGUGAUUAGUUUAUUCUCCCAUGAACCAAUGUGUGAAAGCCCUUUUGAGGAAGCAACGACAUGUGGAAGCUAUGUUAAAAUCUUUCAAACUUAAAAAAAAAAAAGCUAGAAAAAAAAAUUCAUGUUUUUCAUAUUUUGGUGCUAUUGUAUUUCCAGCUAUCUUUUGGUAGUUACAGAAAUAUGAAUUUUGUGUGUUGACUUUAAAAAAAAAAAAAAAAAAAAAAAAAAAAAAAA